rnacentral:rRNA from 2 species
GGGUUGUGAGGUUAAGCGACUAAGCGUACACGGUGGAUGCCCUGGCAGUCAGAGGCGAUGAAGGACGUGCUAAUCUGCGAAAAGCGUCGGUAAGGUGAUAUGAACCGUUAUAACCGGCGAUGUCCGAAUGGGGAAACCCAGUGCAAUUCGUUGCACUAUCGUUAACUGAAUACAUAGGUUAACGAGGCGAACCGGGGGAACUGAAACAUCUAAGUACCCCGAGGAAAAGAAAUCAACCGAGAUUCCCCCAGUAGCGGCGAGCGAACGGGGAGCAGCCCAGAGUCUGAAUCAGCUUGUGUGUUAGUGGAACGGUCUGGAAAGUCCGACGGUACAGGGUGAUAGUCCCGUACACCAAAAUGCACAGGCUGUGAACUCGAAGAGUAGGGCGGGACACGUGGUAUCCUGUCUGAAUAUGGGGGGACCAUCCUCCAAGGCUAAAUACUCCUGACUGACCGAUAGUGAACCAGUACCGUGAGGGAAAGGCGAAAAGAACCCCGGCGAGGGGAGUGAAAAAGAACCUGAAACCGUGUACGUACAAGCAGUGGGAGCACCUUCGGGUGUGACUGCGUACCUUUUGUAUAAUGGGUCAGCGACUUAUAUUCUGUAGCAAGGUUAACCGUAUAGGGGAGCCGCAGGGAAACCGAGUCUUAACUGGGCGUUAAGUUGCAGGGUAUAGACCCGAAACCCGGUGAUCUAGCCAUGGGCAGGUUGAAGGUUGGGUAACACUAACUGGAGGACCGAACCGACUAAUGUUGAAAAAUUAGCGGAUGACUUGUGGCUGGGGGUGAAAGGCCAAUCAAACCGGGAGAUAGCUGGUUCUCCCCGAAAGCUAUUUAGGUAGCGCCUCGUGAAUUCAUCUUCGGGGGUAGAGCACUGUUUCGGCUAGGGGGUCAUCCCGACUUACCAACCCGAUGCAAACUACGAAUACCGAAGAAUGUUAUCACGGGAGACACACGGCGGGUGCUAACGUCCGUCGUGAAGAGGGAAACAACCCAGACCGCCAGCUAAGGUCCCAAAGUCAUGGUUAAGUGGGAAACGAUGUGGGAAGGCACAGACAGCCAGGAUGUUGGCUUAGAAGCAGCCAUCAUUUAAAGAAAGCGUAAUAGCUCACUGGUCGAGUCGGCCUGCGCGGAAGAUGUAACGGGGCUAAACCAUGCACCGAAGCUGCGGCAGCGACACUAUGUGUUGUUGGGUAGGGGAGCGUUCUGUAAGCCUGCGAAGGUGACCUGUGAGGGUUGCUGGAGGUAUCAGAAGUGCGAAUGCUGACAUAAGUAACGAUAAAGCGGGUGAAAAGCCCGCUCGCCGGAAGACCAAGGGUUCCUGUCCAACGUUAAUCGGGGCAGGGUGAGUCGACCCCUAAGGCGAGGCCGAAAGGCGUAGUCGAUGGGAAACAGGUUAAUAUUCCUGUACUUGGUGUUACUGCGAAGGGGGGACGGAGAAGGCUAUGUUAGCCGGGCGACGGUUGUCCCGGUUUAAGCAUGUAGGCUGGUUGUCCAGGCAAAUCCGGAUAAUCAAGGCUGAGGUGUGAUGACGAGGCACUACGGUGCUGAAGUAACAAAUGCCCUGCUUCCAGGAAAAGCCUCUAAGCAUCAGGUAACAUUAAAUCGUACCCCAAACCGACACAGGUGGUCAGGUAGAGAAUACCAAGGCGCUUGAGAGAACUCGGGUGAAGGAACUAGGCAAAAUGGUGCCGUAACUUCGGGAGAAGGCACGCUGGUGUGUAGGUGAAGUCCCUGCGGAUGGAGCUGAGACCAGUCGAAGAUACCAGCUGGCUGCAACUGUUUAUUAAAAACACAGCACUGUGCAAACACGAAAGUGGACGUAUACGGUGUGACGCCUGCCCGGUGCCGGAAGGUUAAUUGAUGGGGUUAUCCGUAAGGAGAAGCUCUUGAUCGAAGCCCCGGUAAACGGCGGCCGUAACUAUAACGGUCCUAAGGUAGCGAAAUUCCUUGUCGGGUAAGUUCCGACCUGCACGAAUGGCGUAAUGAUGGCCAGGCUGUCUCCACCCGAGACUCAGUGAAAUUGAACUCGCUGUGAAGAUGCAGUGUACCCGCGGCAAGACGGAAAGACCCCGUGAACCUUUACUAUAGCUUGACACUGAACAUUGAGCCUUGAUGUGUAGGAUAGGUGGGAGGCUUUGAAGCGUGGACGCCAGUCUGCGUGGAGCCAACCUUGAAAUACCACCCUUUAAUGUUUGAUGUUCUAACGUUGGCCCCUUACCGGGGUUGCGGACAGUGUCUGGUGGGUAGUUUGACUGGGGCGGUCUCCUCCCAAAGCGUAACGGAGGAGCACGAAGGUUAGCUAAUCCUGGUCGGACAUCAGGAGGUUAGUGCAAUGGCAUAAGCUAGCUUGACUGCGAGCGUGACGGCGCGAGCAGGUGCGAAAGCAGGUCAUAGUGAUCCGGUGGUUCUGAAUGGAAGGGCCAUCGCUCAACGGAUAAAAGGUACUCCGGGGAUAACAGGCUGAUACCGCCCAAGAGUUCAUAUCGACGGCGGUGUUUGGCACCUCGAUGUCGGCUCAUCACAUCCUGGGGCUGAAGUAGGUCCCAAGGGUAUGGCUGUUCGCCAUUUAAAGUGGUACGCGAGCUGGGUUUAGAACGUCGUGAGACAGUUCGGUCCCUAUCUGCCGUGGGCGCUGGAGAAUUGAGGGGGGCUGCUCCUAGUACGAGAGGACCGGAGUGGACGCAUCACUGGUGUUCGGGUUGUCAUGCCAAUGGCACUGCCCGGUAGCUAAAUGCGGAAGAGAUAAGUGCUGAAAGCAUCUAAGCACGAAACUUGCCCCGAGAUGAGUUCUCCCUGAGACUUUAAGUCUCCUGAAGGAACGUUAAAGACGAUGACGUUGAUAGGCCGGGUGUGUAAGCGCAGCGAUGCGUUGAGCUAACCGGUACUAAUGAACCGUGAGGCUUAACCUUACAACGCCGAAG